rnacentral:rRNA from 1 species
UACAAGCCUCAGCAAGGUGAAACCGCGAAUGGCUCAUUAAAUCACACCUAAUGUACGGGAUGUUCUCAGUUACUUGGAUAACUGCGGUAAUUCUGGAGCUAAUACAUGCGCACAAGCCCCGACUGUUGAGGGAGGGGCGCUUUUAUUAGAUCAAGACCAAACGGCCUCUCGGGGCCGUAUCUCUGGUGACUCUGAAUAACUUUUCGCUGAUCGCACGGCUUCACGCCGGCGACGCGUCCUUCCAAGGUGUGCCCUAUCAAUUGUCGACUGUGGCAUAGACGCCCACAGUGAUUUUGACGGGUAACGGGGAAUUAGGGUUCGAUUCCGGAGAGGGAGCCUGAGAGACGGCUACCACUUCUAAGGAAGGCAGCAGGCACGCAAAUUACCCACUGGCCGAAGGCCGAGGUAGUGACGAAAAAUAACGAUACCGGACUCAUCCGAGGCCCGGUAAUCGGAAUGAGUACACUUUAAAUCCUUUAACGAGGAACCAUUGGAGGGCAAGUCUGGUGCCAGCAGCCGCGGUAAUUCCAGCUCCAAUAGCGUAUAUUAAAGUUGUUGCGGUUAAAAAGCUCGUAGUUGGAUCUCGGCAGGCAAGGGGCGGUGCGCUGUUAGCGGCACUGCCCCGUUUGCCCGUGUUGUGUGGCGGAGGUUCCGGGGUGCCCUUUGUUGAGUGUCCCGGGGCGCCGUCAGGUUUACUUUGAAAAAAUUAGAGUGCUCAAAGCAGGCUUUACCGGCUUGAAUAUUCGUGCAUGGAAUAAUGGAAUAGGACGUCGUUCCUAUUUUGUUGGUUUUCGGGAAUCGACGUAAUGAUU